GAUGAACGCUGGCGGCGUGCCUAAUACAUGCAAGUCGAGCGAACGGACGAGAAGCUUGCUUCUCUGAUGUUAGCGGCGGACGGGUGAGUAACACGUGGAUAACCUACCUAUAAGACUGGGAUAACUUCGGGAAACCGGAGCUAAUACCGGAUAAUAUUUUGAACCGCAUGGUUCAAAAGUGAAAGACGGUCUUGCUGUCACUUAUAGAUGGAUCCGCGCUGCAUUAGCUAGUUGGUAAGGUAACGGCUUACCAAGGCAACGAUGCAUAGCCGACCUGAGAGGGUGAUCGGCCACACUGGAACUGAGACACGGUCCAGACUCCUACGGGAGGCAGCAGUAGGGAAUCUUCCGCAAUGGGCGAAAGCCUGACGGAGCAACGCCGCGUGAGUGAUGAAGGUCUUCGGAUCGUAAAACUCUGUUAUUAGGGAAGAACAUAUGUGUAAGUAACUGUGCACAUCUUGACGGUACCUAAUCAGAAAGCCACGGCUAACUACGUGCCAGCAGCCGCGGUAAUACGUAGGUGGCAAGCGUUAUCCGGAAUUAUUGGGCGUAAAGCGCGCGUAGGCGGUUUUUUAAGUCUGAUGUGAAAGCCCACGGCUCAACCGUGGAGGGUCAUUGGAAACUGGAAAACUUGAGUGCAGAAGAGGAAAGUGGAAUUCCAUGUGUAGCGGUGGAAUGCGCAGAGAUAUGGAGGAACACCAGUGGCGAAGGCGACUUUCUGGUCUGUAACUGACGCUGAUGUGCGAAAGCGUGGGGAUCAAACAGGAUUAGAUACCCUGGUAGUCCACGCCGUAAACGAUGAGUGCUAAGUGUUAGGGGGUUUCCGCCCCUUAGUGCUGCAGCUAACGCAUUAAGCACUCCGCCUGGGGAGUACGACCGCAAGGUUGAAACUCAAAGGAAUUGACGGGGACCCGCACAAGCGGUGGAGCAUGUGGUUUAAUUCGAAGCAACGCGAAGAACCUUACCAAAUCUUGACAUCCUUUGACAACUCUAGAGAUAGAGCCUUCCCCUUCGGGGGACAAAGUGACAGGUGGUGCAUGGUUGUCGUCAGCUCGUGUCGUGAGAUGUUGGGUUAAGUCCCGCAACGAGCGCAACCCUUAAGCUUAGUUGCCAUCAUUAAGUUGGGCACUCUAAGUUGACUGCCGGUGACAAACCGGAGGAAGGUGGGGAUGACGUCAAAUCAUCAUGCCCCUUAUGAUUUGGGCUACACACGUGCUACAAUGGACAAUACAAAGGGCAGCGAAACCGCGAGGUCAAGCAAAUCCCAUAAAGUUGUUCUCAGUUCGGAUUGUAGUCUGCAACUCGACUACAUGAAGCUGGAAUCGCUAGUAAUCGUAGAUCAGCAUGCUACGGUGAAUACGUUCCCGGGUCU
rnacentral:rRNA from 1 species